UGGAUCUGCUCAAGACAACAGCUACUGACUCUUCUGGUUUAAAUAUGGAAACCAAACUUGCUAACAGUAAUAAAUUUACUGUUCUUAUCUCACAAUUUUGCAAAAAUUCUAUGGAGAUGUGACUGCUGAGCUUUUCAUAAGAAAGGAGGCAGCAAAACUUCUUCCAGAGCAAGUAUGCAGUUAUUCCAAUGAGAACAAAUAAGAAGAUCCCUCCUAUUAUACCUCCAGCAAGAGCAACUGCUUGUUCUGUUCAAACAUAGAAGCCCAUAAAGUAUCAAAGUUAUGUAUGUUUUGGGGGUAGACAGGAAUAUUAAAGCUGACAGAUUUAUUUGAUUUACAUUCCAAAAUUAUUUUUAAAUGAAACAUUCUGCUCAAGUGCACAUUUUUGUCUUUGGUUAUAGCAUGAUACAACACCUGAAGACGUAUGACAUCAGCAGUGAGACAUGAGAAAGUGUUCAGGUAUGCUGGCAAUGACUGCAAUGUAAGAGACUAUAAACAGGAAAAAAACCCCAAACCCAAAGAGUUGUUUGGGCUCUUAUUUUACAUUAGCAUAAGCAUUUACCUUAGCAUGGCAGAAGUGCUAGAGCUUUCAUAACAGAAGAAAAAGAAAACCCAGGAGCACCUAAGACAAAAGGUACCAUUAUUUUGGUUUGGUUUGUUCUUCCAACUGUUCAUCUAUGUUGAAUUGAGGCUAGAUCCUGGCACAAGGAACAAAGCAAAGCUCUAGGUUGUUUUCUUUCUAAGGAUGCAUGUGUUUCCUGAUCUGUAAAGUCAAACUUAACUAUCCCUUAACGCUGUUUCCUGAAUCUUGAUUACUUCAGAUAAAAUCAAAUCUUGUAUAAUUUGGGGUUUGUUUUUUUCACACUAAUAAAACUUAAUAAAUGUCUUCAAUAUGCA